CUAGCCGGGCGGGCUGGGGAAGGGCCUGGGACAGCGGCCCGCUCCCCAGGCCCGAGCCCAUGCCUCCUGCCUCUGAAGCCCUGAGGUUAGAAGAGCUGCUGAAUCGGCUGGCUGCUGCCUUCUCAUUUUUUCUCUUUUGCUACACAGAAAACAGAAAGGACGGGUGGGUGGGGGUGUGUGUGUGUGUGUGUAUUGAGGGUUUUGAAAAAACAAAAAGGGGGAGGUUCAAAUGGGAAAAGAAGGAGAAAAACAUAAAAAGGAGCAAAGGGGUCUAGGGAGACUUCUCAGACACUAACAGGGAUAGAGGAGAGGUGCAGACUCCAUCACACUGUUUGUCCGAUUGGUGUAAAUGGAGAUGUUGCUUGAGAUGAGGCCGGCAUAGCUCAGUCUGGUUUUCGUGAAGCCAGUGCAAAGUCGCACUGGGAAUUUAAGAAUGAAAGUCUAGAUGGGUGGUCAACGAGGUGAAACAUCAUCUCAGGCGUUUACAAAAUGGCUUGGAAAGCAAAAGAGAGCUGGCAGAAAGAUUCUGAAAACAGCAAAGGUAGGUGGAAUUAUAUACAAACGAGCAUGCACACACACACACACACACACACACACACACACACACACACACACACACACACACACACACACACACACACACACACACACACACACACACACACACACACACACACACACACACACAC